UUGGAAUACAGAGGAGUUUUAUUUAUAUUUUUAUGUUCCAGGGAGGGCCGCCUGUGAUUCCAAGACCCCAUUUCUUCUUUUCUGGUCUAAUGUGCUCAGUUUGGGCUGCUUUCCGCUGGUCUGUGUGAUCUUGCUCACCUGUUUCUGUUGUUGAAUGCUAUCGGGAACAUCAAGCCGCAAUAAAAUGGGGAAAAGCUACAUUGUCUUGUGGUUCUGGGAGUUCCAAGAAAUGGCCAGUGUGAAAGGUGAAGCAGAGGUUAAAUAAAAAGUAGGAGGCAGCUAUUAAAGACCAAGAAAGAUUCUGUCAGAACUCAAAGUCUGACCAGAAGACACUUCUGCACAAAUGUAGCUGUACUGGAGUCCUGUACUUGCUUGACCAGAUGCUUCAGGAUGAUGAGAGCACUCGCUGAAGCACACUGCUGGCUGGGUGUUAUCAUUGUCUCCUGACGUGAAGUUCAUUCCUCACAUCAGGAGGUUUACUCAUGCUUAUCUUCAGAAGCUUUAAUACAAAGACUGACGCAGAAAUGGAGUCCGUAAAAACCAAACUUUUUGUUAGUUUGCAAGGACCCAUAGGAAUCUAUGUCAAUCUUUGUAAAGAAGUGCCAUCUACAGCCUAUCUUAGGCAAACUGUUU